CCUACGGGAGGCUGCAGUGAGGAAUAUUGGUCAAUGGGCGUAAGCCUGAACCAGCCAAGUCGCGUGAGGGAUGAAGGUCCUAUGGAUUGUAAACCUCUUUUAUCAGGGAGCAAAGUGCGCGACGCGUGGCGUUCCGUAUGUACCCCAUGAAAAAGGAUCGGCUAACUCCGUGCCAGCAGCCGCGGUAAUACGGAGGAUCCGAGCGUUAUCCGGAUUUAUUGGGGUUAAAGGGUGCGUAGGCGGCACUGUAAGUCAGCGGUGAAAGUUUGGGGGUCAACCAUCGAAUUGCCGUUGAAACUGGGGGGCUUGAGUGUGUGUGAGGUAGGCGGAAUGCGUGGUGUAGCGGUGAAAUGCAUAGAUAUCACGCAGAACCCCGAUUGCGAAGGCAGCCUACC
rnacentral:rRNA from 1 species